GGCGAGUGAAGCGGCAAAAGCUCAAAUUUGAAAUCUGGCUCUUUCAGAGUCCGAGUUGUAAUUUGAAGAAGGUAUCUUUGGGUCUGGCUCUUGUCUAUGUUUCUUGGAACAGAACGUCACAGAGGGUGAGAAUCCCGUGCGAUGAGAUGAUCCAGGCCUAUGUAAAGUUCCUUCGAAGAGUCGAGUUGUUUGGGAAUGCAGCUCUAAGUGGGUGGUAAAUUCCAUCUAAAGCUAAAUAUUGGCGAGAGACCGAUAGCGAACAAGUACAGUGAUGGAAAGAUGAAAAGAACUUUGAAAAGAGAGUGAAAAAGUACGUGAAAUUGUUGAAAGGGAAGGGCUUGAGAUCAGACUUGGUAUUUUGUAUGUUACUUCUUCGGGGGUGGCCUCUACAGUUUAUCGGGCCAGCAUCAGUUUGGGCGGUAGGAGAAUUGCGUUGGAAUGUGGCACGGCUUCGGUUGUGUGUUAUAGCCUUCGUCGAUACUGCCAGCCUAGACUGAGGACUGCGGUUUAUACCUAGGAUGUUGGCAUAAUGAUCUUAAGUCGCCCGUCUUGAAACACGGACCAAGGAGUCUAACGUCUAUGCGAGUGUUUGGGUGUAAAACCCGUACGCGUAAUGAAAGUGAACGUAGGUGGGGGCCCG
rnacentral:rRNA from 1 species